CUGGGUACAAUUUUCAUCCAUUGGUUUGGUGAACAAAACAAAUUUUACCCUGCCUCUAAUUUUUGGAAAAUCACCAUAGAGAACAACCCAAGACUAGAUAGAUAAUUUACAUGAUGCCGCCAUGAUUCUGAUUCUGCGUUUUAGGGUUUAGGUUCUGAUUCUGCGUUUUGGGGGUUUUGCUUAUGAUGAUCUGAUCUCG
rnacentral:lncRNA from 1 species